UAAUACGUAGGGGGCGAGCGUUGUUCGGAUUUACUGGGCGUAAAGAGCGCGUAGGCGGUUCGAUAAGUCAGAGGUGAAAUCCCUCGGCUCAACCGAGGACCCGCGUCCGAUACUGUCGAACUUGAGUGCAGGAGAGGAGAGCGGAAUUCCCAGUGUAGCGGUGAAAUGCGUAGAUAUUGGGAGGAACACCGGUGGCGAAGGCGGCUCUCUGGACUGUCACUGACGCUGAGGCGCGAAAGCUAGGGGAGCAAACGGGAUUAGAUACCCCGGUAGUCCUAGCCGUAAACGAUGGGCACUAGGUGUGGGAGGUAUCGACCCCUUCCGUGCCGCAGCUAACGCAUUAAGUGCCCCGCCUGGGGAGUACGGCCGCAAGGUUGAAACUUAAAUGAAUUGACGG
rnacentral:rRNA from 1 species